AGAGCAGGGCUGGCGGGAGGCAGGCGAAAGACAGAAUUUUCCUGAAAAAACGGGGCUAUCUGAGGACCCCAAAUUUGGAGAGGUAGUUCAGGACCGUCCUGCCAACAACCUAGAUUUUUUGGGGAUUUUUUGGGGGCCCCAGGACCCCUCUAGAUGGGGUGAGGAAUGUAGUGUUGGGGGAAUCUGACUGGGGCAUUGCAGCUGCCUCUCCCGCCGAGUUGGACACGGAUGGGCUGGGACGGGUUUGGGGGGUGUCCCCAAUUCUGACUGGGAGUGGAGGAACCCCCUCCUCAGCUCUCUUGUGGGGGGUCCCCCCUCCCUAGGGCACUCCCCACUCCUUGAGCCAGCCGAGAGGAAGGAGGCCAACGAUGCGACCGGGCGGCUCCUUUCUCCUGCACCCCAAAUGUGAGGGAUGCACCCCAAAUUUUGCUCCCUUCAAAAUAGGGGACCAGGAUCUCAGGGGAGAGUAGCUGAGGGGAUGGAUGCUACCAAAACUAAAAACUAGCGGCAAAGUAGGAAAGAUGCUGAGCUAGGCUCCCGAGGAAGAUGGAACAAUGGGCAUGGAGGAAGCAAGCUGCCCACCCCCCUCGUUGUCUACCGGCCACCCCUCCCUCACACUGUCCGUUCCUUGAUGACACAGCUGAUGUGAUUAAGAUCGUCCCCAAACCGCUUCACAGCAGCCCUCAGCAUCUCUAUCUCCGUCUCCGUCCACUUGGCACUGUCAGGGGGGAGAGGGGAACAGCGAAAGUGGGAGGAGGAGGGGUGUGGAGACAGCUCCCAGGCUAUGCAUUCCACAGCAGCCAGCCUCCCCCCACCAUCCCUAGAGCCCCUCCCAUAGGUCCAUAGAGAGGUCCUCCUUAAAAAAAAGAAAAAAAGGAAGAA